UGGGGAUUGGCCAAGUGGUAAGGCACCGGGUUCUGGUCCCGACAUCGGGGGUUCGAAUCCCUCAUCCCCAGCCA
rnacentral:tRNA from 1 species